CCUACGGGUGGCAGCAGUCGAGAAUCAUUCACAAUGGGGGAAACCCUGAUGGUGCGACGCCGCGUGGGGGAAUGAAGGUCUUCGGUUUGUAAACCCCUGUCAUGUGGGAGCAAAUUAAAAAGAUAGUACCACAAGAAGCAGAGAAGGCUAACUCGGUACCAGCAGCAGCGGUAAUACAGAGGUCUCUAGCGUUGUUCGGAAUCACUGGGCGUAAAGCGUGCGUAGGCUGUUUCGUAAGGCGUGUGUGAAUGGCUAGGGCUCAACCCGGGGACGGCAUAUGAUACUGCGAGACUAGAGUAAGGGAGGGGGAGGUGGAAUUCUUGGUGUAGCAGUGAAAUGCGUAGAGAUCGAGAGGAACACUCGUGGCGAAGGCGGGUUCCUGGACAUUAACUGACGCUGAGGCACGAAGGCCAGGGGAGCGAAAGGGAUUAGAUACCCGUGUAGUC
rnacentral:rRNA from 1 species